GGCAGGGUAGCUCAGUGGCAGAGCAAGUUGUUCAAAAAUGGCUCAUGUUCCGUGAACCCAGCAGCAAAUCCCAUUUCGACUAGGCCACCGGUUCGAAUCCGGUCCCUGCCU
rnacentral:tRNA from 1 species